CUCAUCCCGUCAGACCUGCG
rnacentral:miRNA from 1 species